CGGGACGGGUGAGUAAUGUUCGGGAAACGUCCCGAUGGAGGGGGGUAACUACUGGAAACGGUAGCUAAUACCGCAUAACGUCGCAAGACCAAAGAGGGGGACCUUCGGGCCUCUUGCCAUCGGAUGUGCCCAGAUGGGAUUAGCUAGUAGGUGGGGUAACGGCUCACCUAGGCGACGAUCCCUAGCUGGUCUGAGAGGAUGACCAGCCACACUGGAACUGAGACACGGUCCAG
rnacentral:rRNA from 1 species